rnacentral:rRNA from 1 species
UACGUAGGGGGCAAGCGUUGUCCGGAUUCAUUGGGCGUAAAGAGCGUGUAGGCGGCCUGGUAGGUCAGCUGUGAAAACUCGAGGCUCAACCUCGAGACGUCGGUUGAAACCACCUGGCUAGAGUCCGGAAGAGGAGUGUGGAAUUCCCGGUGUAGCGGUGAAAUGCGCAGAUAUCGGGAAGAACACCCGUGGCGAAGGCGGCACUCUGGGACGGUACUGACGCUGAGACGCGAAAGCGUGGGGAGCGAACAGG